GGUUUAACGGUUUACGGAAUUUCCAUCUACACACUUAAUGAUUAAGAUGGAAAAUUUUAGGUGAUGUCUGUUUUAACACAAUUAAAAAAACCCACCACCUGUGGCUCCCAAUAUUUCCCAGCAUAAUGGUGAUGACAAAACUGUGAUACUUUACCCACAUCCAGAAACAUCUCUCUGAGAAGCCCGGGGGGCUGGGCCUCCAGACUUGGUGGUGACAACUCAAAAAGAUGACCAAUGAUGAAUUCAACUGUGAAAGCUGCACUCAUCAAAGUUUUGUUUUUUCUUUUCUUUUCCCUUCCAGCAUGAAUGUUUCGUGUAUCUCACCAGCUUGUCCUUCUGGAACCCAGGCAACCCCAUUAUCCGUGGAGGCUGGCUCUGAAGUGUUACUCUACUACUACCCGGCAUCCUGGGGAGAAGAAGCCUGCCUAUACGUCAGGGUCUAGGAGAAGAGGAAUUUGCAAAUGCAGACACUCUGGAGAACACCGUGGGCUAGAACGACAAGAGGAACCAAGAAGCUCCCAACUCAACCUCUCUUCAUUACUCUCCCCACCUCUAUCAACACGUUAACGCAGCCACGGAAGAAAUCUAGUAGGUUUUCAAAAACAUCCAGAAAAAGACUCAGCACCUUCUCUGGCCAACCUGUUCUAGUGCUUGAUAACAAUCCAAGAAUGCAGUAACUUCCUCCCUCUAACUCAGAUUCGAGACACUCCUUUUUCGUACAGGUCUGAAAGUAUCAGGCCCUUGCGGAAGAGCCUUUUAUUGACCUGACGCUCUUCAUUAAACUGUCCCACACCGGCCAGAGGAUGAAUAACCUUGGACCAUUGAGCUGUUUCUAGGCUCUAAUUUCCAGUGCUUUAACUGUCCCUCUGGCUCGGCUCUAGACUCUUCAAGUCCUCCUUCGUACAAGUAGCAUGGCUUGUGAAGACACACAGCUCUAGUGAUGGUCCCCACCGCAUGGCUUCUUCGGGCACCGCGCGGUGGGAGCCUGGGGCCAUGCGCGCGCAGGCAGGGGACUUCCUCACCUCACAUUCAGGCUGUCCCCGACCCCCUCUUCUCUACCCUUGCUUUAAGUUAAUAGAAGAAAGAAAGGAAGAAAAAAAAGGGAAGGAAGAAAAGAAGAGGGCAGAAAAAAUACAAAAGGGAACUAAGAUGUAUAAAAAUAUGAGAAAUGCAUUGUAACAGGAAAUACAGGCCAAAAGAUUCAUUUUACCAGAUGAAAAGUACAUAAAAACAACAUUUUUGCAUUCA